rnacentral:rRNA from 1 species
GACGAACGCUGGCGGCGUGCUUAACACAUGCAAGUCGAACGGAAAGGCCCUGCUUUUGUGGGGUGCUCGAGUGGCGAACGGGUGAGUAACACGUGAGUAACCUGCCCUUGACUUUGGGAUAACUUCAGGAAACUGGGGCUAAUACCGGAUAGGAGCUCCUGCUGCAUGGUGGGGGUUGGAAAGUUUCGGCGGUUGGGGAUGGACUCGCGGCUUAUCAGCUUGUUGGUGGGGUAGUGGCUUACCAAGGCUUUGACGGGUAGCCGGCCUGAGAGGGUGACCGUCCACAUUGGGACUGAGAUACGGCCCAGACUCCUACGGGAGGCAGCAGUGGGGAAUAUUGCACAAUGGGCGGAAGCCUGAUGCAGCAACGCCGCGUGCGGGAUGACGGCCUUCGGGUUGUAAACCGCUUUCGCCUGUGACGAAGCGUGAGUGACGGUAAUGGGUAAAGAAGCACCGGCUAACUACGG